rnacentral:rRNA from 1 species
UACAGAGGUCCCAAGCGUUGUUCGGAUUCACUGGGCGUAAAGGGUGCGUAGGCGGCGGAGUAAGUUGGGUGUGAAAUCCCGGGGCUUAACCUCGGAAUGGCAUUCAAUACUGCUUCGCUCGAGUACUGGAGAGGAGGCUGGAAUUUACGGUGUAGCAGUGAAAUGCGUAGAUAUCGUAAGGAAGGCCGGUGGCGAAAGCGAGCCUCUGGACAGUUACUGACGCUGAUGCACGAAGGCCAGGGGAGCAAACGGG